GUGGAUAUUCGUCCGACAUUUCCAUAUCGUUAAAGUCGUUAAAAUUAAAACAGCGUAAAUUUAGUCGAAUUUCAAGCAAAUCCUUCGUAGUGUAGUGGUUUAGGCACCCGUAUUGUGUGCGCCAAGUUCUGGGAUCGAUUCCUGCUCGCGACACUAUUUUAUUAUUUUUUUUUAUACUUUUUUUUUCUUCGUGAUUUUCGCUUACGCACCGCGUACGAAACGUAUAGCGUAUCGAAUAUGUUGUUGCUUCGUUCUUAAGAAACAACGCAACCCUUUUAGUGUUUAGUUUUAGCUUUUAAAGCGUUGUCGGAUGAAUAGCCGUGAAGCAGGAAGAUCCGGUGUCGGACGAAUAUCCACGGGGAAAAAUA